GACGAACGCUGGCGGCGUGCCUAAUACAUGCAAGUCGAACGCUUCUUUCCUCCCGAGUGCUUGCACUCAAUUGGAAAGAGGAGUGGCGGACGGGUGAGUAACACGUGGGUAACCUACCCAUCAGAGGGGGAUAACACUUGGAAACAGGUGCUAAUACCGCAUAACAGUUUAUGCCGCAUGGCAUAAGAGUGAAAGGCGCUUUCGGGUGUCGCUGAUGGAUGGACCCGCGGUGCAUUAGCUAGUUGGUGAGGUAACGGCUCACCAAGGCCACGAGGCAUAGCCGACCGAAGAGGGGGAUCGGCCACACUGGGACUGAGACACGGCCCAGACUCCUACGGGAGGCAGCAGUAGGGAAUCUUCGGAAAUGGACGAAAGUCUGACCGAGCAACGCCGCGUGAGUGAAGAAGGUUUUCGGAUCGUAAAACUCUGUUGUUAGAGAAGAACAAGGACGUUAGUAACUGAACGUCCCCUGACGGUAUCUAACCAGAAAGCCACGGCUAACUACGU
rnacentral:rRNA from 1 species